AUUGAACGCUGGCGGCAGGCUUAACACAUGCAAGUCGAGCGGGGGAAGGUAGCUUGCUACCGGACCUAGCGGCGGACGGGUGAGUAAUGCUUAGGAAUCUGCCUAUUAGUGGGGGACAACAUCUCGAAAGGGAUGCUAAUACCGCAUACGUCCUACGGGAGAAAGCAGGGGAUCUUCGGACCUUGCGCUAAUAGAUGAGCGUAAGUCGGAUUAGCUAGUUGGUGGGGUAAAGGCUUACCAAGGCGACGAUCUGUAGCGGGUCUGAGAGGAUGAUCCGCCACACUGGGACUGAGACACGGCCCAGACUCCUACGGGAGGCAGCAGUGGGGAAUAUUGGACAAUGGGGGGAACCCUGAUCCAGCCAUGCCGCGUGUGUGAAGAAGGCCUUAUGGUUGUAAAGCACUUUAAGCGAGGAGGAGGCUACUUUAGUUAAUACCUAGAGAUAGUGGACGUUACUCGCAGAAUAAGCACCGGCUAACUCUGUGCCAGCCGCCGCAGUAA
rnacentral:rRNA from 1 species